UUUCCGUAGGUGAACCUGCGGAAGGAUCAUUAAAGAUUCUGACCUUCGGGUCUAACCUCUUCAGCUGUGCGCUUUGGCUGCACGCUGUUGAACUUCACACACCAGUGCACCUUUCGGAUGCGGCUUGUUCAUGCUUGCCGCUUCCGCCUUUUACAUCACACUACAGUCCAGAAUGUCUAAUACUAUAAAAGUAACAACUUUCAACAACGGAUCUCUUGGCUCUCGCAUCGAUGAAGAACGCAGC
rnacentral:misc_RNA from 1 species